AUUGAACGCUGGCGGCAGGCCUAACACAUGCAAGUCGAGCGGUAGAGAGGUGCUUGCAUCUCUUGAGAGCGGCGGACGGGUGAGUAAUGCCUAGGAAUCUGCCUAGUGUGGGGGAUAAACGUUCGGAAACGGACGCUAAUACCGCAUACGUCCUACGGGAGAAAGCGGGGGAUCUUCGGACCUCGCGCCAUUAGAUGAGCCUAGGUCGGAUUAGCUAGUUGGUGAGGUAAUGGCUCACCAAGGCGACGAUCCGUAACUGGUCUGAGAGGAUGAUCAGUCACACUGGAACUGAGACACGGUCCAGACUCCUACGGAGGCAGCAGUGGGGAAUAUUGGACAAU
rnacentral:rRNA from 1 species